AAUUAAAUAUAAAUUAUAAUAUGAAAACUAAAAGAACAUGCAUAUUCUCUGUCAUAUGGACCUGCAUGAAUAAACUUUCUCAAUCCUUUAUCAUCUGCAACCGAAAAUAGCUGUGGAUGAUUACUAUACCUUUCUAAUGUUGUUGUCCCUGCCUCUCUUUCUCUCUCUCUGGCUCUGUUCCUGUGCUACUGAGUGUAACUACCGCCCCUCCCCCCUCUGCCCAGCGUAAAGCACAAGGCCCGCGUGCAGAGUGAAGCGGGAAAAAAGUGCGAGAGAGAGGCUGAGAGAAAGAAAAAAAAAAAAAAAAUAAGCAGCAGGCUCGGGUCUCCCUGAUCUUAACGCUGGUUGUUUUUCAGCAUGUUCCAGAGUCGGAGUCUCUGGAGGACCGGCUGCUGAGUGUGGAGGUCUCCGAGGUGAAUGUGGACCUUGUCAUGAUGAUCAUGGAAGUAGUGGCGUCCAUCGCUGCUUUUGUCAGAUUCUUGCCGCUUGCCAACAGGAUAUGCAUUGAGAUGGCCGAACCUGGUGGAUUAACACAGGUGAUGGAGAGCAAAGUCACCAAGGACUAUUUAUCUGCUUGCAGUAAAGCUGGACGUAUUGAGUCUUUGAAGAGCCUGAAACAGCGUCUGCAAGACUCUGGUGACAACCUCAAAAUGAAAACCAAGAAGACCGCAGAAUCGACUGAUGCAGUGACCAAAGGUGACUGCCAGGCGGAGAGCCAGAGGACCGAGGAGGAAGCAGGGACCCAGCCCGAUGCUGCAGCCGCCCCUGCUGGACAGCAGCCAGAGCCCAAGUGUCCUGAUGACGAGACACAGGAGGGAGAGGAGAAUGAUGGAUGGAGCAUGGCCGACAUUAAAGUUGUGGCUAAACGCAGGAGGGAGCUUGUCGGAGCUGAGGCAAAGCCAUCUCGCUCUCAGUCUCCGUGUGUUGUAGCAGAUUUCAGACUGCCUCAGUUCAACCCUAACAGCCCCAUCGGUCAGGAGUUUGUGGUCCCUAAAUCAGGAUUUUUCUGUAACAUCUGCUCUGUUUUCUGCCUGAAUGAGAAGACCGCCAAGGAACUCCACUGCUGCAGCCAGAAACACUACGACAACCUGCAGAAAUAUUAUGAGGAACGUCGACAAAGAGCUACAAAAGCUUUGUCUCAGACGUCUCCAGGCUCCGUUUCUGACUGAUGGACCUGAUCUACUGUAUUUUUAACACAUAACUGUGCAGAGUGUAUAUAUAUGUAUAUGUGUGUGUAUGUGUGUCCUGGAUGACUGUGGAUAUGUUUGCGGUUUUGUGAUUUGUUUCUUAUUUCCUGUUUUACUUUGAAAGUUCAUGUCUUAUGUCAGUGUGUUCAGUUUUACCUCUCCCCUGUCUCGUUAGCCUGAUUUCUCCCAGCUGUGUCUCCCUCCCUCCCGCACGCCCAUUCCCUAAUUACUCCCCUGUGUAUUUAAGCCCUGUGUUUUCCUGGGCUCCCUGUCGCGUCGUACCUUCAACCUGCUGUGUGUUUGUAAUGUCCAGUCCUCCAGCACCUCGCUUUAGAGUCUUGUUUUCCUUUUGUAAGUUUUAUUUUGUCAGUCAUUCUUCCAGCAAUAAAGCUGCGUUUUCAGUUUAUCAGUUUAUUCCCGUCUCCAAGAGUCCUGCAUUUUUGCGUCCACCGCUUCUGCUCGCCUGCCACACAGCCAACCAUGACAAUAGCAGAAUCUAGUAUAACAUGGAAACACCUACCUGAAACACAGACUUUAUGUAUUUUAAGUACUUGAGUAAAUGUUCCCACUACUAUCUGCACUCACUUCUGAAGAUAUUUAGACUAGUGAGAGAACUCUGAGCUCCUCCGCUUCAUGUGAGAUUCACUUUCCACUGUUUCCUUUCUUUCUUUCUUUUUUUUAAAUCCC
ensembl:lncRNA